rnacentral:rRNA from 1 species
GAUGAACGCUGGCGGCGUGCCUAAUACAUGCAAGUCGAGCGAACGGACGAGAAGCUUGCUUCUCUGAUGUUAGCGGCGGACGGGUGAGUAACACGUGGAUAACCUACCUAUAAGACUGGGAUAACUUCGGGAAACCGGAGCUAAUACCGGAUAAUAUUUUGAACCGCAUGGUUCAAAAGUAAAAGACGGUCUUGCUGUCACUUAUAGAUGGAUCCGCGCUGCAUUAGCUAGUUGGUAAGGUAACGGCUUACCAAGGCAACGAUGCAUAGCCGACCUGAGAGGGUGAUAGGCCACACUGGAACUGAGACACGGUCCAGACUCCUACGGGAGGCAGCAGUAGGGAAUCUUCCGCAAUGGGCGAAGGCCUGACGGAGCAACGCCGCGUGAGUGAUGAAGGUCUUCGGAUCGUAAAACUCUGUUAUUAGGGAAGAACAUAUGUGUAAGUAACUGUGCACAUCUUGACGGUACCUAAUCAGAAAGCCACGGCUAACUACGUG